rnacentral:rRNA from 1 species
UGGGGAAUAUUGGACAAUGGGCGCAAGCCUGAUCCAGCCAUGCCGCGUGAGUGAUGAAGGCCCUAGGGUUGUAAAGCUCUUUUGUGCGGGAAGAUAAUGACGGUACCGCAAGAAUAAGCCCCGGCUAACUUCGUGCCAGCAGCCGCGGUAAUACGAAGGGGGCUAGCGUUGCUCGGAAUUACUGGGCGUAAAGCGUGCGUAGGCGGUUCGUUAAGUCUGUCGUGAAAGCCCUGGGCUCAACCUGGGAAUUGCGAUGGAUACUGGCGAGCUAGAGUACGGUAGAGGAUGGUGGGAUUCCCGGUGUAGCGGUGAAAUGCGUAGAGAUCGGGAGGAACACCCGUGGCGAAGGCGGCCAUCUGGACCAGUACUGACGCUCAUGCACGAAAGCGUGGGGAGCAAACA